rnacentral:rRNA from 1 species
AUUGAACGCUGGCGGAAUGCUUUACACAUGCAAGUCGAACGGCAGCACGGACUUCGGUCUGGUGGCGAGUGGCGAACGGGUGAGUAAUGUAUCGGAACGUGCCCAGUCGUGGGGGAUAACGUAGUGAAAAUUACGCUAAUACCGCAUACGAUCUAUGGAUGAAAGCGGGGGAUCGCAAGACCUCGCGCGAUUGGAGCGGCCGAUAUCAGAUUAGGUAGUUGGUGGGGUAAAGGCCCACCAAGACAACGAUCUGUAGCUGGUCUGAGAGGACGACCAGCCACACUGGAACUGAGACACGGUCCAGACUCCUACGGGAGGCAGCAGUGGGGAAUUUUGGACAAUGGGCGAAAGCCCGAUCCAGCCAUUCCGCGUGCAGGAUGAAGGCCCUCGGGUUGUAAACUGCUUUUGUACAGAACGAAAAGGUUUCUACUAAUACUAGGAGCUCAUGACGGUACUGUAAGAAUUAGCACCGGCUAACUACGUGCCAGCCGCCGCCGUAA